rnacentral:rRNA from 1 species
AGUGAACGCUGGCGGUAGGCCUAACACAUGCAAGUCGAACGGCAGCACAGUAAGAGCUUGCUCUUACGGGUGGCGAGUGGCGGACGGGUGAGGAAUACAUCGGAAUCUACUUUUUCGUGGGGGAUAACGUAGGGAAACUUACGCUAAUACCGCAUACGACCUACGGGUGAAAGCAGGGGAUCUUCGGACCUUGCGCGAUUGAAUGAGCCGAUGUCGGAUUAGCUAGUUGGCGGGGUAAAGGCCCACCAAGGCGACGAUCCGUAGCUGGUCUGAGAGGAUGAUCGGCCACACUGCAACUGAGACACAGUCCAGACCCCUACGGGCGGCGGCAGUGGGGAAUAUUCGACAAUGGGCGCAGGCCUGAUCCAGCCAUACCGCGUGGGUGAUGAAGGCCUUCGGGUUGUAAAGCCCUUUUGUUGGGAAAGAAAAGCAGCAGGUUAAUACCCCGCUGUUCUGACGGUACCCAAAGAAUAAGCACCGGCUAACUUCGUG